rnacentral:rRNA from 1 species
UACGUAGGUGGCAAGCGUUGUCCGGAUUUACUGGGCGUAAAGAGCGCGCAGGCGGUCGUUCAAGUCGCGUGUGAAAGCCCCCGGCUCAACUGGGGAGGGUCGACGCGAUACUGAUCGACUCGAAGGCAGGAGAGGGAAGUGGAAUUCCCGGUGUAGUGGUGAAAUGCGUAGAUAUCGGGAGGAACACCAGUGGCGAAGGCGGCUCUCUGGGCCGGUACUGACACUGAGGAGCGAAAGCGUGGGUAGCAAACAGG